rnacentral:rRNA from 1 species
AUUGAACGCUGGCGGCAUGCCUUACACAUGCAAGUCGAACGGCAGCACGGGUGCUUGCCCCUGGUGGCGAGUGGCGAACGGGUGAGUAAUACAUCGGAACAUGUCCUGUAGUGGGGGAUAACCCGGCGAAAGCCGGAUUAAUACCGCAUACGAUCCACGGAUGAAAGCGGGGGACCUUCGGGCCUCGCGCUAUAGGGUUGGCCGAUGGCUGAUUAGCUAGUUGGUGGGGUAAAGGCCUACCAAGGCGACGAUCAGUAGCUGGUCUGAGAGGACGACCAGCCACACUGGGACUGAGACACGGCCCAGACUCCUACGGGAGGCAGCAGUGGGGAAUUUUGGACAAUGGGCGAAAGCCUGAUCCAGCAAUGCCGCGUGUGUGAAGAAGGCCUUCGGGUUGUAAAGCACUUUUGUCCGGAAAGAAAUCCUUGACUCUAAUACAGUCGGGGGAUGACGGUACCGGAAGAAUAAGCACCGGCUAACUACGUG